rnacentral:tRNA from 1 species
UGGAGCAUAGCCAAGUGGAAAGGCGGUGGAUUUUGACUCCAUCAUACAGAGGUUCAAUCCCUCUUGCUCCAG